rnacentral:snRNA from 1 species
GAUUUUCUUUAAUCUUUUC